CUUGAAGAGGUUAAGUGACCAACCCAAGAUCACAAGACUGAUGAAACCAGUGCUUGAACUCAAGCUUCUGAUUCCGAGUCCAAUCUUCUCUUUCCACUGCAUAAAGAUACUCGAGUCUCUUAUCACCACCAACACCAAGUGAUGGCUUAUAAAGAUCAUCCUUAGGGUCUUUCCCCCUCAAACGUGCUAUCAUUCAGUAACUCUAGGAUCCUUGUUAAAAAAAAAAAAAAAACGGGGGUUGCGGAGAAGGGAUUGAAAUAUCUCCUCUCCCUGUCUUCACCUCCUCUGAUGAAAUCUGAUUUUAUUCUGUGAUAUGUAAGACCUGAAUGAAGGUGACUGAAGUAAUUGGGUACAUGGUUAGUGGUGGAAUCCGGAUGUGAACCUGAGUCAUGGUCUUGCCAUUGUUCCUUGAAGACAGGAAAUAUUUGUAAAUAUAUUUGGAAGCAACUUUAAAAUUGUUGCAUGUGGUUGGGUCUAACAGAAUCACUUGAAUGAAGAGAAAAACAUAACUUUUUCCUGUGAAUUUUCAGGGAAAUGCAAUUAUUUCCUUUCACUUGGUAUAAAAGCUCUUCAGAGGAAUAAAGCAUGCAUGAGCCAACACAUGCAGAGACAAUUGAGCCUUUAGUCGCAACUCAUGCUCUAGUUAUAAUGUGUUUUUAAAUUCCAUGAUAGCUACAGAGAAGGAGGAAAGGACUUAACAUAACAGCCUACCAUGUUCAAGGGAUUAUAAUACAUUAUCUCAUUUAAUCCUCUCAUGAAACCUGUGAGGUAGAUGUUCUUAUCACAUCUUACAGAAGAGGAAGUCAUGGUCUAGAGAAAUUAAGCAAUCUGCCCAAGAUUGCAAGGUUACCAAGUUUCCUAAAUGGGAUCCAGACACCAGGGCAUACACUUCUUCAACCAUGAGGAUGUCUCUUUUGCUUAAUGUAGCUGCUUCCUUUCCUGUGUUCUUUUAAAUUAAGUUUUAAUUAUUCUGCUUUAUCUUAGUUUAUUGAAGGUUCCAGAAUAUGUUAGAGAAGGAUGCAUGUCGGAGACCAUCUAGUUUAAACUCUUACUUUUAUAAAAGAGGAAACAGGGUACAGGGGAAGUAUGGCCCGAGGUCACAUGGAGAAUUCAUAUGAGAGUGUGAGGUAAAAUUAAAACUCAAUUUCUUGAGUUCUAGUUCAAAGUAUCCUACUACUUAGUGACCCUGGUGCCUUAGUGAAGAGAGAAAGAAAAGAAGAAAUAAUCUCUAAUGGCUUCUCACCCAUAAGUAAAAAAGGAGUGGCUGGGUGCCGUGGCUCAUGCCUGUAAUCACAGCACUUUGGGAGGCUGAGGUGGGUGGAUCGCCUGAGGUCAGGAGAUCGAGACCAGCCUGGCCAACAUGAUGAAACCCCGUCUUUACAAAAAAUACAAAAAAUUAGCUGGGCGUGGUGACAGGCAUCUGUAAUCCCAGCUACUCGGGAGGCUGAAGCAGGAGAAUCACUUGAACCCAGGAGGUGGAGGUUGCAGUGAGCCGAGAUCAUGCCAUUGCACUCCAGCCUGGGCAAGAGUGAGUCUCCAUCUCAAAAAAAAAAAAAGUUACAAAGAAUGAAACCCCGUUAAGUAAGUAAAAUCAGCUAUGAUUCCUGCUAUCCUGAAAGCUGACAGUGAAGACCUUCAUCAACACUUUUCUAAAUGAGUAGAUAAUUACAAACUGAGAUAAGCACGGUAAGGGCGUGUGACAUAAGCACAUGUCUUAGACUGGGAGUGGACAGUUCAGUGGAGAGCAAAGAGGGAAAAUUCCAGGCUGAGAUAAGUCCCUGGGGGUCAAAAAGGGUGGAAGUAGGUAAUUGGGAGUCUGGAGCUCAGAGAGAGGAGGGGGAAGGAGUGAGGGGUAUAGGAGUGGAGAGUGAGUUGGUGAGAUGAGGAUGAGGAGGAAAAUAAGAGCCAGGUAGUCAUGGCCUUAUGUAGGCUCCAUAAAGUCUUUACUCAAAGUUUAAUGGGAAGCCAUUAAGAGUGGUAUAUAUUGGUGACACAAUCAGCUUUGAGCUUUUAAAGGAUCACCUUUGUGUUUGUAAACAAUUUCUAGAUUUUAAAGCAGUAGACAAAGGACAGAGAUUAUAUAAAGAAAUGAGAAAGCUUCCACAAAGUGUACAUGGAAACCAGUCUUUCUGCCUUAACUCAAACUGUGUGAUGAAGGCAGCAAGUGCUUGGGAGCCCAGAGAGUCAAGGGAUGGCCAUGGCUUGGAGGAUAUGGAGCAAUUCAAGUGGGCUAAAAUCUGAAGUCCAUAGCAGGAAGGGACAGCUUCACGUUCAGUCAGCAAAUUUCUAUUUAGCUACAAUUACCUCUUCACCUUAGCUCAUCUGUUCUCUGAUGGAUGUGCUUUUUUUUUUUGUUUCUAAAUUCCCUUUUCCUUUUCUCUGGAGAUGGGUGAUUGAUGUAGUCUGGGUAUUUGUUCCCUCCAAAUCUCAUGUUGAAAUGUAAUCCCCAGUGUUGGAGGUAGGGCCUGGUGGGAGGUGUUUGGAUCAUGGGGGCAGAUCCCUCAUGAAUAGCUUGGUACUGUCCUCUCAAUAGUGAAUGAGUUCUCCUGAGAUAUGGUUGUUUAAAAGUGUGUGGCACUCCCCCAUUGCUCUCUUGUUACUGCUUUCGACAUGUGACAUCCCUGCUCCCCUUCGCUCUCUGCCAUGAUUGAAAGUUUCCUAAGGCUUCGCCAAAAGCUGAGCAGAUGUGGGUGCCAUGCUUGUACAGCCUGCAGAACUGUGAGCCAAAAUAAACUUCAUUUCCAUAUAAAUUAC
rnacentral:lncRNA from 10 species